CGAAGGGUGCAAGCGUUACUCGGAAUUACUGGGCGUAAAGCGUGCGUAGGUGGUUCGUUAAGUCUGCCGUGAAAGCCCCGGGCUCAACCUGGGAAUGGCGGUGGAUACUGGCCGACUAGAGUGCGGUAGAGGGUGGUGGAAUUCCCGGUGUAGCAGUGAAAUGCGUAGAGAUCGGGAGGAACAUCUGUGGCGAAGGCGGCCACCUGGACCAGCACUGACACUGAGGCACGAAAGCGUGGGGAGCAAACAGGAUUAGAUACCCUGGUAGUCCACGCCCUAAACGAUGCGAACUGGACGUUGGGAGCAACUAGGCUCUCAGUGUCGAAGCUAACGCGUUAAGUUCGCCGCCUGGGGAGUACGGUCGCAAGACUG
rnacentral:rRNA from 1 species